rnacentral:tRNA from 1 species
AGGUGGUUAUUUUAAUAAAAAUAUUUGAUUUCGGCUCAAAAGCUCCUGGUUAAAGUCCAAGACCACUUA